CUCCUGGCUGGACAGGGAUUGGAUGACGACGUUCAAACCGGCCAAAAUGGUGUAGGCCUGGGCCAAGAAGUUACCGUUGCCCAGAAGUUCGUUCAUAUCG